rnacentral:rRNA from 1 species
AUUGAACGCUGGCGGCAGGCCUAACACAUGCAAGUCGAGCGGGGUUUUCGGACCUAGCGGCGGACGGGUGAGUAAUGCGUAGGAAGCUACCCGAUAGAGGGGGAUACCAGUUGGAAACGACUGUUAAUACCGCAUAAUGUCUACGGACCAAAGUGUGGGACCUUCGGGCCACAUGCUAUCGGAUGCGCCUACGUGGGAUUAGCUAGUCGGUGGGGUAAUGGCUCACCAAGGCGACGAUCCCUAGCUGGUUUGAGAGGAUGAUCAGCCACACUGGAACUGAGACACGGUCCAGACUCCUACGGGAGGCAGCAGUGGGGAAUAUUGGACAAUGGGCGCAAGCCUGAUCCAGCCAUGCCGCGUGUGUGAAGAAGGCCUUCGGGUUGUAAAGCACUUUCAGCGAGGAGGAAGGGAGUUGUGUUAAUAGCACAGCUUUUUGACGUUACUCGCAGAAGAAGCACCGGCUAACUCAGUGCCAGCAGCCGCCGUAAUAC